ACAUAUGAUCUUUAAAUCAAGUCAAAAAUUAUGAUAUGAUCCCCCUUGAGAUCAUUAUUUAAUCACAGUUUUAUGAACGGCUUUUCCAAAAAUAGCACGGAUCUCCCAUGAAUUCAACUCCCAACAGCAACUCCCCGGCACAUUUGCCAAAUCAAUAUGCAAUAUCCCACAAGUAAAGGAUUUCAAACUCUCACUCGAAUCUACACACACACACGCUCAGUGGGCAAUCAUAUCGAUGGGGGGAAAACUGAACCGCCUGUCAUAAAAGCCGCACACACAAAAAUACGAGUAGUUGGCUGCAUCAAGAGGGAACUGUGGCAUGAAAAGCACAAAAACUAGGUUACCAACAAACCCCCUAGAAAAAUAACAAUUGCACCCCGUAACCCCUGAUCUCUGGCACUGCCACUCGCCGUCCCAAAGCCAUCCGUUCAUGUCUCUGCCAAUGCAUUUCAAAACAGGAGCUGCAGGAGCAGCGAAUCGAGAAAGGCGUUCGGCCAUGCCCCUCCGCCGCCCCCACCAUAUCUGUCAAGUGAACUGGAAGUGAUAAGGA
rnacentral:lncRNA from 1 species